GCCUGGGUGGCUCAGUCACUUGAGCGUCUGACCUCGGCUCAGGUCAUGAACUCAGUUUGUGGGUUCAAGUCCCACAUCAGGCU
rnacentral:tRNA from 1 species